UACGGGGGGGGGCAAGCGUUGUUCGGAAUUACUGGGCGUAAAGGGCUCGUAGGCGGCCAACUAAGUCAGACGUGAAAUCCCUCGGCUUAACCGGGGAACUGCAUCUGAUACUGGAUGGCUUGAGUUCGGGAGAGGGAUGCGGAAUUCCAGGUGUAGCGGUGAAAUGCGUAGAUAUCUGGAGGAACACCGGUGGCGAAGGCGGCAUCCUGGACCGGCACUGACGCUGAGGAGCGAAAGCCAGGGGAGCAAACAGG
rnacentral:rRNA from 1 species